ensembl:ncRNA lncRNA:CR44312 long non-coding RNA:CR44312
GCCUGGAAUCACUUCUCAGACUCAGUUUCAUCCUCCGAAUCGAAAUCAUCCACCUCAAACGAGCCGGAGCUGCCCUCCAUUUCGCUUUCGAUGCUUCGCUUCGAUCUGCAUAUCCAAGAUUCAAGAUCGGUUAAGAAUAUCACCGAGGGCGAAAGGCGACAAGAAAUCUAAAGAUCAGUAAACGGGGAAGUGUGUCAGAUUAUUUUUAAAAACAGAGGGCACUUAGGAACGUUUCAAUUAGCUCAUGACCUGCAUCCGAGAUGAUCCGAGUCGAUGGGGCCCACUGGCUGUGUAAACACAUGUUCUUGCAACUGAUUUACAAAUUUACGAUUACUGUCGAAUUUUUGUAAGUUUUGUUUUCGUUUUGGCCAGCUUUUGAACGCCAGUUUUAUUGCAACAGCCACCAAGUGGAACAAAAGGAAUUCAAUGGCACAUUGAGGUGGAAAAGAAAAAGGAAAAACCGAAAAAGAAUGGAAUCUCGAAUUGCAUUUGUUUAGUCAUGCGCGAAAUAAUGGAACAGCUUGGUAAAACACUAUAUACAUAUAUAUCAAAU